AGAGUUUGAUCAUGGCUCAGGAUGAACGCUAGCUACAGGCUUAACACAUGCAAGUCGAGGGGAAACGAUAUUGGAAGCUUGCUUCCGAUAGGCGUCGACCGGCGCACGGGUGAGUAACGCGUAUCCAACCUGCCCACCACUUGGGGAUAACCUUGCGAAAGUAAGACUAAUACCCAAUGACGUCUCUAGAAGACAUCUGAAAGAGAUUAAAGAUUUAUCGGUGAUGGAUGGGGAUGCGUCUGAUUAGCUUGUUGGCGGGGUAACGGCCCACCAAGGCUACGAUCAGUAGGGGUUCUGAGAGGAAGGUCCCCCACAUUGGAACUGAGACACGGUCCAAACCCUCGGAGGCGA
rnacentral:rRNA from 1 species